ACGGUUAUAAAUCAACAUAUUGAUUUAUAAGCAUGGAAAUCCCAUGAGUGAAACAACGAAUUGCUGUGUGUAGUCUUUGCCCAUCUCCCACGAUGGGCUUUUUUUUAA
rnacentral:other from 1 species